rnacentral:tRNA from 1 species
GGGCCCAUAGCUCAGUCGGUUAGAGCAACUGACUCAUAAUCAGUGGGUCGCAGGUUCGAGUCCUGCUGGGCCCACCA